rnacentral:rRNA from 1 species
UCGGGAAUUUUGGGCAAUGGGCGAAAGCCUGACCCAGCAACGCCGCGUGAAGGAUGAAGUAUUUCGGUAUGUAAACUUCGAAAGAAUAGGAAGAAUAAAUGACGGUACUAUUUAUAAGGUCCGGCUAACUACGUGCCAGCAGCCGCGGUAAUACGUAGGGACCAAGCGUUGUUCGGAUUUACUGGGCGUAAAGGGCGCGUAGGCGGUGUGUCAAGUCAGUUGUGAAAUCUCCGAGCUUAACUCGGAACGGUCAACUGAUACUGUCACACUAGAGUACAGAAGGGGCAAUCGGAAUUCUUGGUGUAGCGGUGAAAUGCGUAGAUAUCAAGAGGAACACCUGAGGCGAAGGCGACUUUCUGGCUCGACACAGACACUAAGGCGCGAAAGCGUGGGGAGCAAACAGGAUUAGAUACCCCUGUAGUCCCUGAGCGGGCUGGCAAGGCGCAU